UACGUAGGGCGCAAGCGUUGUCCGGAAUUAUUGGGCGUAAAGGGCUCGUAGGCGGUUUGUCGCGUCGGGCGUGAAAACCUUGGGCUUAACUCAGGGCUUGCUUUCGAUACGGGCAGACUAGAGGUAUGCAGGGGAGAACGGAAUUCCUGGUGUAGCGGUGAAAUGCGCAGAUAUCAGGAGGAACACCGGUGGCGAAGGCGGUUCUCUGGGCAUGAUCUGACGCUGAGGAGCGAAAGUGUGGGGAGCGAACAGG
rnacentral:rRNA from 1 species